rnacentral:rRNA from 1 species
GUUGGGUAGGGGAGCGUUCUGUAAGCCUGUGAAGGUGGCCUGUGAGGGUUGCUGGAGGUAUCAGAAGUGCGAAUGCUGACAUAAGUAACGAUAAAGCGGGUGAAAAGCCCGCUCGCCGGAAGACCAAGGGUUCCUGUCCAACGUUAAUCGGGGCAGGGUGAGUCGACCCCUAAGGCGAGGCCGAAAGGCGUAGUCGAUGGGAAACGGGUUAAUAUUCCCGUACUUGGUGUUACUGCGAAGGGGGGACGGAGAAGGCUAUGUUGGCCGGGCGACGGUUGUCCCGGUUUAAGCGUGUAGGUGUGUGUUCCAGGUAAAUCCGGUUCACUUUAACACUGAGGCGUGAUGACGAGGCACUACGGUGCUGAAGCAACAAAUGCCCUGCUUCCAGGAAAAGCCUCUAAGCAUCAGGUAACAUCAAAUCGUACCCCAAACCGACACAGGUGGUCAGGUAGAGAAUACCAAGGCGCUUGAGAGAACUCGGGUGAAGGAACUAGGCAAAAUGGUGCCGUAACUUCGGGAGAAGGCACGCUGACACGUAGGUGAAGUGAUUUACUCAUGGAGCUGAAGUCAGUCGAAGAUACCAGCUGGCUGCAACUGUUUAUUAAAAACACAGCACUGUGCAAACACGAAAGUGGACGUAUACGGUGUGACGCCUGCCCGGUGCCGGAAGGUUAAUUGAUGGGGUCAGCGCAAGCGAAGCUCCUGAUCGAAGCCCCGGUAAACGGCGGCCGUAACUAUAACGGUCCUAAGGUAGCGAAAUUCCUUGUCGGGUAAGUUCCGACCUGCACGAAUGGCGUAAUGAUGGCCAGGCUGUCUCCACCCGAGACUCAGUGAAAUUGAACUCGCUGUGAAGAUGCAGUGUACCCGCGGCAAGACGGAAAGACCCCGUGAACCUUUACUAUAGCUUGACACUGAACAUUGAGCCUUGAUGUGUAGGAUAGGUGGGAGGCUUUGAAGUGUGGACGCCAGUCUGCAUGGAGCCGACCUUGAAAUACCACCCUUUAAUGUUUGAUGUUCUAACGUGGACCCGUGAUCCGGGUUGCGGACAGUGUCUGGUGGGUAGUUUGACUGGGGCGGUCUCCUCCUAAAGAGUAACGGAGGAGCACGAAGGUUGGCUAAUCCUGGUCGGACAUCAGGAGGUUAGUGCAAUGGCAUAAGCCAGCUUGACUGCGAGCGUGACGGCGCGAGCAGGUGCGAAAGCAGGUCAUAGUGAUCCGGUGGUUCUGAAUGGAAGGGCCAUCGCUCAACGGAUAAAAGGUACUCCGGGGAUAACAGGCUGAUACCGCCCAAGAGUUCAUAUCGACGGCGGUGUUUGGCACCUCGAUGUCGGCUCAUCACAUCCUGGGGCUGAAGUAGGUCCCAAGGGUAUGGCUGUUCGCCAUUUAAAGUGGUACGCGAGCUGGGUUUAGAACGUCGUGAGACAGUUCGGUCCCUAUCUGCCGUGGGCGCUGGAGAACUGAGGGGGGCUGCUCCUAGUACGAGAGGACCGGAGUGGACGCAUCACUGGUGUUCGGGUUGUCAUGCCAAUGGCACUGCCCGGUAGCUAAAUGCGGAAGAGAUAAGUGCUGAAAGCAUCUAAGCACGAAACUUGCCCCGAGAUGAGUUCUCCCUGAGACUUAGAGUCUCCUGAAGGAACGUUGAAGACGACGACGUUGAUAGGCCGGGUGUGUAAGCGCAGCGAUGCGUUGAGCUAACCGGUACUAAUGAACCGUGAGGCUUAACCUUACAACGCCGAAG